UUGAAAGCAUCGAGAGUUAGCAGAGUUGGUCAUUUCUAACAAUGCACUCGUCACUUUUAACACUGCUGAAUUAAAGCUUGAAAAAGACAAAUCAGUUCAAACUUGACACGUUUCAAUGAUUCGUUGAUAUACCUUGAGGAGGUUGUCAUUGCUGUGCAGCCAGUAACUCCCUUUAUACAUCUGACUGUAAACUCUACCCAUAGAAAACUGAACUGUAACUUUCUCAGUGAGGUGGAGAAGUCCACUAAUUAUGUUAUUUAUACUCGACCUGCAGGUUGGGACUUAUUAGGUGAGUCGACAUGAAUAUUUCAUCUUUCACCUACAGAACUAGUCACCGCAGAGGUCGCUCACUUUCCUUUUCACACUGACAGGUGAAAGAGAAAAAGUCCAGACGGUGUGCAUCGGGAAGGAAUUUAGUCUGCCAGUGGACUCCACAUCGAGGAUUGUGACUUUCACGCCAAGCCCCGAUGGGCCGAGACGUGUCCUGCUGGAUAAGACCACUGUGAAGGAUCCACGGUUCAAGUGGACCAGAGAUAAAUCGUUGGUCCUAAAAGAAGUGACUCACAGUGAUCAGGGGCUUUAUGUCAGUGGCAGUAAAGGCCUCAGCAAAGCAUCACAAAUGAGGACACUCACUGGAGCAACGACUGCCUGAAGUCACGUUUCCUCCAGUUUGAAUGUGGAGAAACUUACUGUGAUGGCAGACAGAGUGGAGCUCAGUGUUGUGGAGCUUUGGGAGGAACUGUGGUCAUCAGACUGAUGGACAACGCCUUAGAAACAUAUAGAUGUUAUGUGAAAAAGGGAACAUCAGUAAUAUUAACAUGGAAAAACAAAAUUAUUGUAACUAAUGUGAUAAAAGACAGAUCUGUCUUUAAUCUCAGUGAUGGAACAUUUAGGAUCAAUGAACUGAGCAGGAAUGACAGUGGUCAAUAUGAUCUGAUAAUCUUUGACUCAAAUGGAUCAAAAUUACCAGAACAGACUCUACAGUUGUUUAUUGAAGGUCACAUGUCCAUCAUAUGUGCGUUGAAAGCAGCUGUGAUAAUUCUCUUGUUAAUUGGGAUUCUCGUCUGUUUUGCCUGGAAGAAAAAGAGACAAGGAAAAGCUGAAGGCUCAGCUGUCCCACAAACACUGGAACCUCCAGAAAAGACUGUCAUGAUGGUUGAAAUGAGAGGUUCUGCACCUUAAAACAACAACUAGCGACACAUUUCAUCCGCGCUAGGUUCCUUAUUUUACCCGUUUUUGUCUCUGAAGAACUUUCAAAUGUACUGGCUUUACAUGAAGCACGGCAGCAGAAAAAUGUGUCUUAUGAUAAAAAGCACGUCCUUCAUUAGUGGAUCACUGGUACCAAAAUGACCCAA